GCCUGGCUGGCUCAAUCGGUGGAGCGUGUGACUCUUGAUCUCAGGGUCGUGAGUUCUAGCCCCAUGUUGGAUG
rnacentral:tRNA from 1 species